AUUGAACGCUGGCGGCAGGCCUAACACAUGCAAGUCGAGCGGAUGAAGGGAGCUUGCUCCUGGAUUCAGCGGCGGACGGGUGAGUAAUGCCUAGGAAUCUGCCUGGUAGUGGGGGAUAACGUCCGGAAACGGGCGCUAAUACCGCAUACGUCCUGAGGGAGAAAGUGGGGGAUCUUCGGACCUCACGCUAUCAGAUGAGCCUAGGUCGGAUUAGCUAGUUGGUGGGGUAAAGGCCUACCAAGGCGACGAUCCGUAACUGGUCUGAGAGGAUGAUCAGUCACACUGGAACUGAGACACAGUCCAGACUCCUGCGGGAGGCAGCAGUGGGGAAUAUUGGACAAGGGGGGAAAGCCUGAUCCAGCCAUGCCGCGUGUGUGAAGAAGGUCUUCGGAUUGUAAAGCACUUUAAGUUGGGAGGAAGGGCAGUAAGUUAAUACCUUGCUGUUUUGACGUUACCAACAGAAUAAGCACCGGCUAACUUCGUG
rnacentral:rRNA from 1 species